UCAUUUGGAAUUUGAUUUUGUCAAUUUGUCAAUUUAGUCACAAUAAAAUAUGUUUUGUUUUUAAACACAAAAGCAACGCCAGAUUGUUGGAAAUUAGCAGAAAUUAAUUUCAAACACUUUUUACAAACUGUUUAAUAAUGGAACGAUGAUGUCGAUACUGUGACUGAAGCAACUCUGAAAUGUGGCCAGGGUGCUGUGGAAAGAAGGGAGAGUUAAUAUAAAUUUCACGAUCACAUGAACUAUGCAGUAAGUGCCCUAUAAACAACCCCCAAUGAAGGUGAUUGCGAAUCCUUAGCAAAAAAUACCUACAGGCAACUUUAUGCUCCUACCUUCUAUGAGGGAUGAAAGCAUAUGGAAGCAUCAACAGUAAAGAUGCUAGAAAGUCUCCUUUCGUUUGUAUUGAAGGAUGUUCUAACAAGUAGAUCCGUAUCAAUUGACUCGUUCUAAUUGAUUUGUGUAGAUAUUGACAUUGGCUCGAAGAAGUCUAAUUUUCAUUCCACUUACUGUAAAAAUAGGGAAAGUUUCUUAGAAAUGUAUAAAAUACGAUAACAUAGGGGAAAUUAGUAACAAAUUAUCGUUUUUACAGCUGAGAUAACAUUUCGAUUGUUUAAGAGGUACCAAAACAAAAUAACUAGUUAUUUUAUAAACUAUUUCAACAGUUGGAUGUUGGAAUACUUUCAUUAGCUAAAUAUUCUCCCUUGUACGAUUUAGUUUCAUAGAAUGCAAGUACUUGCGAAACAGAAAGUAACAAACAUAUACCUACUUCCUGUUUUUGUUGAAAUAAACAAUUUUACAAAAUCCUAACUUCUUAUCAGCAAAACAUUGACUGUGAGACAGAUGUGAUUGUAUUUAUAAAAGAUUUCUACAACUGAAUGCUUGCAGCUUGGUUGAAUUUGUAUCGAAAGCAUUACGAAGAGGUCCAGGAAUCAAAAGUUUUAAUUAUCAUUUUAAUACCCACAAAUAUAUGGAAAAAAUCCUUACAAUUGUGUUCUUUUGUAUAAACCAACGAAUUUACUUUGCUAACUCGUUUGUUUUUCGCAUUUUUAAUGUUUAAUAGGGUGUUGGUUAAGUUAUUGAAACUUUAUCUUAAAAAAUAACAAAAAUCCUUUCCGAUUGAAAUGAACAAGUACAUACCUUAUGUAAUGGACUAUUAAAAGAACGCGUUUUGAUAAAAAUUUUUUAGGUCUUUUCUGUUUUACUAUAAGAAAUUUCCAAAAAUUUGAAGAUAAUUUCGAGAAUAACUAUUCUCUAACAACAGAGUCACUUGGAAAGACUAUUCCCUGUCGGCCAAUCAGUAACGAGAACGUAAAAUUGGAUUUCACAGCCAACCUUGUUAACGUAGUUGGGCGAAAUUAAAGUAAUUAUAUUUGGAAUAUUUAUAUCUUGAUUUACUUAUUUGUUUAACGAAUUGAAUAAAAAAAGAAACAUACUUAUAGCACAAGAGAGCCAAAUAGUCUAUUUAUUUAAUUAUAAAUGAGCGUUAAAGCUUGUAAUAAAAUUGUAAACUUUCAGAAUUAAUAAAUAGUUGACUACUAACGCUAGCAUUUUGUCUUUCAUUUAUUAGUGAUAAUCUGAUGAUCCUUAAACGAUGAAUUUGUUUUAAAACAUUUGAGUAUAACAUUAGAUAAUAUGUUGUUGUAUUUUGUUAUAACACAUUUAUUAUGCUAAUUUCUUUAUAGCAAACAAAAAUUAACUUUGGCUGAUUUAUUUAUUGCAUAAUGAAAUUCCUUUGGUUUUGGAGGUAUUGGGUAUAUAUUUUCAGUUUUUUAAUUAAUUAAUUAUUCUGUUAUAUACUUACCUAUAAGUGGCUAAAGGGUUCAGUCUGUUCAAAGACCAUUACGAAUAUGGAAAUAAACGAAUAUCUAACGAAAAGACACGAACAAAUACGAAUGGUACUCUUGUGUUUUGAAUUUGAAAUGUGUGGAAAUUUUAAAAUUGAAUAUAUUUGAACAGAAAAAUUAGCAAAAAUAAAUGCAAUCAAUAUCUAAUUGCUAAUUAAGUGCCCAAAUAAAAAAUAAUGCUUUAAUUUAUUGUAAGUUUACUCAAAUAAAGUUAAAUAUGCAAAUUCAAUUAAAAAAUGGAAAAUAUAAAUUUAAAUAACACAAGAGAAUAAAUGGGAUAUUAAAUGAUGAGAUAAUAUUAGAGAAAAGAUCAACAUUAUACAAAAGAUGAGGAAAAAUUGGGGUUGAAACUUGAAAAAAUUCGUUUAACAUGUUCUGAAUAACAACACAUUAAAAUGAAAAAAAUAGUUUAUUACUCAUUAAUUUUUUAAUUUGACUAAACCUAUUCUACUAAUAAGUGUAAUAACACGUAAGAGAUAUGUCUAAAUUGAAUUACAACGUACACACUUAUAUUGUAAUUAUUGUAACAUGAUAAUGGUUUGCAAUUAUAAAAUACGAUUAUGUUUGACUAUAGGAAUAAAACAUGUAAAAUAAAAAUCAUGAAUGUGCGUCUUAUUUGGUACAGAGAAACAUGUAGGUAAUGUUAAAUACUUACAUGAGAUCAGUUUUAUUAAAUAUUAGUUUAUAAUGUAACAGUUUUAUNA